UACGAGUGCUUCGAGCGUUAUCCAGAAUCAUUGGGCGUAAAGGGUGUGUAGGCGGCUAUGUUAGUCCUGUGUUAAAUCUUUCGGCUCAACCGAGAGGCUGCAUGGGAAACGGCAUAGCUUGAGGACGGUAGGGGUCUCUGGAACUCAUGGUGUAGCGGUGAAAUGCGUUGAUAUCAUGGGGAACACCGAAAGCGAAGGCAGGUCUCUGGGCAUUAACUGACGCUGAGGAGCGAAAGCAUGGGGAGCGAACAGG
rnacentral:rRNA from 1 species